UGGGGAAUUUUGGACAAUGGGGGAAACCCUGAUCCAGCCAUGCCGCGUGAGUGAAGAAGGCCUUCGGGUUGUAAAGCUCUUUCAGCCGGAACGAAACGGUCACGGCUAAUACCUAUGAUCACUGACGGUACCGGAAGAAGAAGCACCGGCUAACUACGUGCCAGCAGCCGCGGUAAUACGUAGGGUGCGAGCGUUAAUCGGAAUUACUGGGCGUAAAGCGUGCGCAGGCGGUUUUGUAAGUCAGAUGUGAAAUCCCCGGGCUUAACCUGGGAACUGCGUUUGAAACUACAAGGCUAGAGUGUGGCAGAGGGGGGUGGAAUUCCACGUGUAGCAGUGAAAUGCGUAGAGAUGUGGAGGAACACCGAUGGCGAAGGCAGCCCCCUGGGUUAACACUGACGCUCAGGCACGAAAGCGUGGGGAGCAAACAGGAUUAGAUACCCUGGUAGUCCACGCCCUAAAACUAUGUCAACUAGUUGUCGGGCCUUAACGGGCUUGGUAACGCAGCUAACGCGUGAAGUU
rnacentral:rRNA from 1 species